GGAGAGGUGCCUGAGCGGUUGAAAGGGGCGGUCUCGAAAACCGUUGUGGUCGUUAGGCCACCCAGGGUUCGAAUCCCUGCCUCUCCGCCA
rnacentral:tRNA from 1 species